rnacentral:rRNA from 1 species
GAUGAACGCUGGCGGCGUGCCUAAUACAUGCAAGUCGAGCGAACGGACGAGAAGCUUGCUUCUCUGAUGUUAGCGGCGGACGGGUGAGUAACACGUGGAUAACCUACCUAUAAGACUGGGAUAACUUCGGGAAACCGUAGCUAAUACCGGAUAAUAUUUUGAACCGCAUGGUUCAAAAGUGAAAGACGGUCUUGCUGUCACUUAUAGAUGGAUCCGCGCUGCAUUAGCUAGUUGGUAAGGUAACGGCUUACCAAGGCAACGAUGCAUAGCCGACCUGAGAGGGUGAUCAGCCACACUGGAACUGAGACACGGUCCAGACUCCUACGGGAGGCAGCGGUAGGGAAUCUUCCGCAAUGGGCGAAAGCCUGACGGAGCAACGCCGCGUGAGUGAUGAAGGUCUUCGGAUCGUAAAACUCUGUUAUUAGGGAAGAACAUAUGUGUAAGUAACUGUGCACAUCUUGACGGUACCUAAUCAGAAAGCCACGGCUAACUACGUG